ACGCACGCUGGCGGCAUGCCUCACCCCUGCCAGUCGAACGAGACCUUCGGGUCUAGUGGCGCACGGGUGCGUAACGCGUGGGAACCUGCCCUUAGGUUCGGAAUAACUCCCCGAAAGGGGUGCUAAUACCGGAUAAUGUCUUCGGACCAAAGAUUUAUCGCCUUUGGAUGGGCCCGCGUUGGAUUAGCUAGUUGGUAGGGUAAAAGCCUACCAAGGCGACGAUCCAUAGCUGGUCUGAGAGGAUGAUCAGCCACACUGGGACUGAGACACGGCCCAGACUCCUACGGGAGGCAGCAGUGGGGAAUAUUGGACAAUGGGCGAAAGCCUGAUCCAGCAAUGCCGCGUGAGUGAGGAAGGCCUUAGGGUUGUAAAGCUCUUUUACCCGGGAUGAUAAUGACAGUACCGGGAGAAUAAGCUCCGGCUAACUCCGUG
rnacentral:rRNA from 1 species